UCGCUGCCAGUUGCAACGGGUAGAGCCGGGCGACUCUGGCGGGACUGCCAUCGACAAGAUGGAGGAAGGUGGGGAGUGACGUCAAGUCAUCAUGGCCCUUAUGUCCAGGGCGACACACGUGCUACAAUGGCCGGCACAGCGGGAAGCGAGGCAGUGAUGCCAAGCGGAUCCCUUAAAGCCGGUCUCAGUUCGGAUUGAAGUCUGCAACUCGACUUCAUGAAGCUGGAAUCGCUAGUAAUCGCAGAUCAGCCAAGCUGCGGUGAAUACGUUCCCGGGCCUU
rnacentral:rRNA from 1 species